UUGGGACUCUAGCACAUAGUCAGCAUGUGGGUGCAUGGCUCACGGACGGUAUGCACCGAGUGUGCAAAGCCAGGUGCACUGCUCUGACGAGUGACAGAGCACACGUGCGUGCCUACUAAACAGACCACAGGGAAGCCAGGACCUGGCACUUAGACCCAAUUGCAGGUCUCCGUCAGCCCCCACAGCUCUUCUUCUUUGCUAAGUGUGCCCUGUCCUGCCCCGCCUUUGAAGGCAGCCUGCAGAGAAGCUGAAUCCUCAUCCACAGAGCCCCAUCGAGGAGAGGAUGUGUAAGUGGGGAGACCUUACCCUGACGGUCUGUAAGAACACCCACAUCAGUAGCGAAGGGAAAAACAGGAAGCCAGAGCCAGGGCAGGGACAGCGGUGCCCGGCACUCAGCACGCGCCCUGUGACAGCAGCCUGUGGCCCACCUGUGACAGCAGCCCUGGAUUCUGGCAGAGCGUCUACGAAGUGACCUGGGUAUCGACUCUAAACCUCAUUAAAUAGCUUCCAGCUCCUGCCCAGGGUGACUGGAGCCGGGCUAAUCCAGGGCUGGCACCUAAGCAGAUAAAUGUCCUCAGCAGACAUCCCCGAGGGGCCCAGAUGCGGCGUCCUCCUCACCCCAGCACCACAGGCCCAGAGGGCAGGUGGGGUAUAAGUACUUUAUAGGAUUAAUCGGCGUGAGACUCAUCCCCCUCAUCCUCACCAGUGUCGGGUGUCAGAGAGAAAUGCUAUCUCAGCAUGAGGGAAUCGCGGCUAACGAGGCAGGCGCUGUCUGCAGUGGCUUCAGAGCGGCUCUGACGAGCAUCUCCUGGUUAGGAGGGUUUGUUAGAGGACCAAAGGCGGAUGGACAGGCGGAUCAGUGGAGACAAGUGGACAGACAGGCGGAUCCAACACUCGGAGAGGAA